rnacentral:rRNA from 1 species
AUGGAUCUAGCAGGAUCCUCCUCUGCCGACGGCGAACUACCUCAACGACGGCUCCCGUCUGGAUCAAGGAGUUCGGCAGAUGGUCAAGCAGUGCACCAUGGUCCACGGGCAUGGGAAGUGCGGCGUGUGGGUGCAUGCAGAGAAGGAGCAACAGCCAUGGAGUACUCCAGGAGCAGAUCAUGCCCAAAGGGACCACACCCAGGAGAUGGUCGUGGAUCAAACUGCUGCGCCCCGGGGCUGGUGCUUGUGAUGAGCGACGAGGAGAAGCAGGGACCUGGGAGCGCAUGGAUGAUGGAUGCGCGAAGGAUGAGCGCCUUGGACCUAGAUGAUGGAUUCGCCUGGGGCCUGGGAGCGACGGAGGAUGGACGCCUGGGAGUGCCGAGGAGAAGCGAUUUGAAAUCCUAG